rnacentral:rRNA from 1 species
UACAGAGGGGGCAAGCGUUGUUCGGAAUUACUGGGCGUAAAGGGCGCGUAGGCGGCCUGUUAAGUCGAACGUGAAAUCCCCGGGCUCAACCCGGGAACUGCGUCCGAUACUGGCAGGCUUGAAUUCGGGAGAGGGAUGUGGAAUUCCAGGUGUAGCGGUGAAAUGCGUAGAUAUCUGGAGGAACACCGGUGGCGAAGGCGGCAUCCUGGACCGAUAUUGACGCUGAUGCGCGAAAGCCAGGGAGCAAACGGG